AAUGUUUUGGAGAAAGGCUUUAUUGAAAAUAAUUUAAAACCAUUUCAAUACAAAUACUUUAUUUACGACACAACUGUAUAACUAAUCAUAGAACUUGUAAGAUAUCCCUGGCAUUUAACACCCAGGGGGAAACAGCACAUUGCAGCCUUUUAUUAGCCCGGAUAACAUCAUAUAACAUUUUUACCCGUCCAUUUUUCUAGGCAGAAUCCCAUCUCUCCAAUAAAGGCCCUCAUUCCACCUAACUCCACAAGGAGGAAAGAAAAUCCAUCCAAGGUAAGAAUUUGAACAUAGCCCCGUUCCGUUUCCUUCUCACCCUCCCUAAAGCCUUUAGCUUGGCAGAUUGAAGCCAAAUAAAUUGCAGAAUUAUUUCUGACCAUACUGAUAAAACACCUGGAAAUUUAGCUAACGUGAACUCAAAAAAGUAUUUAAGAGCAAAUAAAAUGUGCAUGGAUUUAGGGAUCCAACAAAGAAAGAAUCUGAAAGUGAUACCGGAGAAACUGACGGAAGCAAAGCACAGAGGGAUGGACACAGGUUUCUUCAGGAAGGAAGAGAUUCUUUAUUGGAUCACCGAUCGGGACUCAGAGGGACUAAUGUCACCAAAAAUACAGCAAGUUCUGAGCCCUGAACAAUAGUGCAGGCUCCCUAUAUAGGCACAUAACUCCUCCCAUAUUAAGCUCC